rnacentral:lncRNA from 1 species
GUGUUGACAAUCCUUAUCUGUGAGGUUCUCCUUGGCUGGCUGAACGGAUUCUGGAUUUUCUGGAAGGAUGGCUGGAAUAUCCUCAACUUCGCCAUUGUCUUUAUCUUGUUUAUGGGGUUCUUCAUAAAACAACUGAACGAAACCUUCAUCACCUACCCUCUCAGGGCUCUUCGGCUGGUUCAUGUGUGUAUGGCAGUGGAACCCCUGGCCAGAAUCAUCAGGGUCAUCCUGCAGUCGAUGCCGGACCUGGCCAAUGUCAUGGCCCUCAUCCUCUUCUUUAUGCUGGUAUUUUCUGUGUUUGGGGUCACGCUCUUUGGUGCGUUCGUGCCCAAGCACUUCCAGAACAUGGGGGUGGCUCUGUAUACACUCUUCAUCUGCAUCACCCAGGACGGAUGGCUGGACAUCUACAUGGACUUCCAGGUGGAGGAAAGAGAGUACGCAAUGGAGGUCGGGGGCGCCAUCUACUUUGCUAUCUUUAUCACCCUCGGUGCCUUCAUUGGCCUCAACUUGUUUGUCGUCGUCGUGACCACAAAUCUGGAACAAAUGAUGAAGACGGGCGAGGAGGAAGGGCAUCUGCAGCCCAUAACUUUCAAUGAGAAAGAUGCAGAGGAAGAGGACUGGACCGAUGAGCUACCACUGGUCCAUUGUACAGAGGCCCGCAAGGAGACUUCCGCAGUCCCUCAGGAACCACUGGUUGGGGGCCCCCUGCGUAACCUCUCGGAAAAGAC